rnacentral:lncRNA from 1 species
CACGCUCCACCACAGGCUCGAGGCCUACUGUUGGGGGGAAAUAUUAACGACCUCCUAAUGACCCCUAAGACAACAAUCAUGAAGGCCUAGGCCCACCUGAGAUACUGACGAUUGCCACCGGCCCAGCAUGAGCGGGGAACGCCACACUUCGUCUCGCCCGACCCAGAGCCUUGGGGUUGGAUGCCCCCGACCCCUCGACGACAAAACUCCACCUCACCCGACCCAUGGUCCCAGGGUUGGAUGCGCCCGACCCCGCGCCGCAGGGUUCCACCUCGCCCGACCCCAGUCGUGGGGGGUCGUACUCAACCGGGCCCAUAGGACGAGGAUCCGCCUCGGGCGCGGAUCGGCAAA